UACGAAGGGGGCGAGCGUUGUUCGGAAUUACUGGGCGUAAAGGGCGCGUAGGCGGUGCACCAAGUCAGGCGUGAAAGCCCCGGGCUCAACCUGGGAAUUGCAUGGGAAACUGGCAGGCUUGAGUGUGGCAGAGGAGGGUGGAAUUCCGCGUGUAGCAGUGAAAUGCGUAGAGAUGCGGAGGAACACCGAGGGCGAAGGCAGCCCUCUGGGCCAACACUGACGCUCAGGCACGAAAGCGUGGGGAGCAAACAGG
rnacentral:rRNA from 1 species